rnacentral:lncRNA from 1 species
CUCAGACCCAGUUUUUCUCUCUCUUUCUGUCUCUCUCACACACAUACUAUUUUAAGGUACAUUUUAUUUUUAACCAAAAUGUUUUAUCUCUUGAUAACCCAUUUUAUUUCCCAGAGAAUUGGCUAUGAAUGCCUCUGGCUAGCAGAAAAAGCAAAUCCACCACUAAAAAGACAGAGUGUUGCCACUGGAGAGGAAAAGCUAUAUAUAUGUAUGUGCAUCUUCAUGAUAAACAUCUGGAAGAGUACAUAAGAAAACAUGAUGGCAGUUACAUUUGGAGAGUGAAACAAGAGGUCUGUGAUAGGUUGGGAAGGACAGUUAAAGGGCACAACCUUCAGGACAAGACCGCUGGAUUACCUGAGAGGCACAGCUGUCCUCUGCUACCGGGAGAGCCUGCUGCAGGUAGCUCAUCUGCCCUGAGAGAAAUGGAGACUCAAGGGAAGAAAUUUGUUAUGUUGCCAUUUUUCGGUUAUCCACGAAAAUGCUUGGGAACAUAGGCAUGAAUUAUAAAAGAUAGAAGAUAAUAAAAGCACUUGUAUUUGACUUUGGAAUGGAUUACUGUACUUACGUUUGUCUAGGGCGUGUGUCUAUCCCGG